UAAAAUUUUGUCAUUAUUUGGAUUAAAUAUGAUUUUUGUAUUUCAUGUAAAUAAAACACAAUAUUGUUAUAACUUAGGUUGUUUGAAGGAAUCGAUUGGGGGAAAAUUGAAAAGGUAUCCGGUGUAUACUUACUUCUGUUACUAACUGUAUAUCGGAAGCCUGCAUUGCAUCAGUUAUUAAUAUUUUUUUUAUGUAUCGAGUAACAAACAUGAAUGUUUUUUUUUUAAUAUCGUUAGUCCCUACCAAGGCACAACUACAAGGUAGCAACAGUAGAGCAAAAACAACAAUAGCGUGUAUAAUAACGCUGUUUGCUUCAAUUAUCUAGGCAACAACAAAGUUUGACGCUUUAGAGAACUCACAAAAUUAUAAAAAAAAGACAGCUGCUUCACCGCUGCUACCUUGUUGACGUGCUUCAUACCGUCAUACCGUAACCAUAAACAGCUGAGCUUGACGUAGAAUUAACGACAACAUCUGCAUUUUAUCAUAAAAAUACGAAUAAUUUUCAACUAAGUCAAAUAACUCUUCGUCGCUCAUAUCUAAUAUUCAAAUUUUUAUGGCAAAUAUCAAAACAAAUGUAAAGCACAUAUUUCACAGCUGCUUACGGUUACGAGGAAAACUCAAAAUUCAGUAGAUACGUACGGCUACGGUUAUGGUUAUGGCGUUAUGGUGCCGCACCUAUAAUCGUUUACAGUAAUGCACAUGUGUUUGAUCAGAAUAGCUAAUUGCUUAAGUUACGGUUAUGGCUACGGUAUGGCACCACUAAUUGUAGUAUUAGACCCCCACAGCUGUGUAGGCUAAGAUGAAUUCACAUGAGGUGAAAUUCCUAGAGGAGCUCAUUUGUUGCUGUUGUUGUUGUAGCAGCAUAAACAGUCCCCAUAUAUGGGGAGUGUUGCUGAAGAGAUAGUCCUUGGCCGGAUAUAAGUCCGGUCGUUCCGGUAACGUAGAACCCACUGUCGUGGGAACGAGGAGCUCAUUUGUACUUUCUUCCGCUUUAUUGGUUUGAAUGUUAAGGCGAUCGGCUCUUUUUGUUGUUGGUUCGUUUGUGUGUUUACAUAUUUGACAGUCAGACCACCAAAUUGAAAAAAAAACACAUUUCAAUUUUCUCAACUUAUAUGAAUUCGCCUUGCUUUUUGAAUGUUAAUAAAAAGAAUGAGAGAUAGAAAAGUUUGCACUUUCGCCUGGUUCAAUCAGCUGAUGUGUGAUGUCACUGUAGCGCAUCUUUUACGAUAUUACAUUGAAAACUAGACUUUUAAGGCCGGAGUGAAAAUUCAUGUUAAAUAAUAUAUAAAAUGAACUAUUUAUGAAUGAAAGGAGCAGUAUAAGAACUAAAACAUGAAGUGUGCCGUGAUAAACUGUGGUAAAUCCGAUAACAACAAGUAUCAGAACGCAGUUUUUUUCCGAUUUCCCGCUGAUACUAAUCGUACCAAAAAUUGGUUAAGUUCAGCCGACAGGAUAAAGUUUUGAAUCCAACGACCUGCUACUUGUGCAUGGAUCAGUUUACAAGCGAAGACUUUGAAAAAAGUCAGAAGUACCAAAUAGGCUUUACAAAGAAACGGAUUUUAAACCGGUAUAUAAAAUGCGUUUGUUUACAAAGAAAAAUUCAGAAUCCGAAACGGCAAAGAAAACAAGGAGCCUUCAUUUAAAGCCAUUAUAGCUGAUGAGUCGUGCAUGAAACACCAAAUCAUAGAAAAAGUGUUUUCUUGGUGGUCGCUCCACGGCAGGCAACCACCAAGUGUACUUCUGCCUUAAAAAAAUUCCUCAUAAAAACCAUUUGCCAAACUGUAGGUUCCUCCAUUUGUAGAACAACAUCAAGACGCCCGUCACAAAUAGGAAGAAGAGCGUGGCCAAACAAUCAGAAAGGGUGUAAUCGCCAAUUAUAUUUUAUAUAUAUAGCUGAUGAGCAAUUAACAUCACAGGAAUGCGUGAGGUACAUUCGUUUUAUGCACAAAAUAGCGUAACAGUAACUGAAAAAAAACAGUUGUAAGUAUAACAAAUUAAAUAUUAAUCAUUUAUACAUACGUACAUGUUUAUGAAAAACACUUUAAUAGGGAAUCCGAACGUCAAGAGAACGUGCGAUUAAGCAAAUAAAACAAAAGGGCCCAGUCCGAUAUGGCAUUCCUAAAGCGCUCUGUCAUUAUGGAAAGAGGAAAAAGCAUUCGUGGAAAAGUAUGGGAAAUUUGGAAACCAUAUUUACAAACGAACAGGUCACCAAUUAAAGAACAGCAUUAGAAGGCAAGCAUGAACCGAAAACGAUAUAACUCAACCAAUAUCAUUAAUUUGAAGUGAUUGUCUUCUAGCACCAUGCAAAAUAUGCCUCUUGUUUUCCAUGUUUGUUUACAACAAGGCGAAUGUUUUACAAAAUGUGCGCCUUCAUGACACAACCCAAAUAACGUGUUGACAUGUGAACAAUCUUGGCAUUUUUUCACUCUCAGCUGCAGUGAAGUAUACACACUUUGAUUCAGCAACGAAAGCCCAAGGGCAAUGUUUCAAUGUGGAUGGAUUGAUCUUGGAAAAUGAAUAUUUCCCCGCGACCAAAAACUAUAUGUAGCUUGUUCGGGGUAAAUAGUUGAAUAUGCCCCAAAUGGCACAAAAACGUUUUUUAUUUUCUUGCGUUAAAAUAAGAAAUGAAUAAAAAUAAUUAAAUAUUUUUCCAAUUUUUUCGCCUCUCUUAAUACAUUGUGGCGUAGCAACGCAUUGCAGACGCAACACAACUCCACAGUUAAAGGCAAAUAUCUAGUUGACAACCCCAUACAUAUUUUUUCUUUAAAAUGAUAUUUAUUGAAUUUCAUCAUAUAUCAAUUACAACAUAAUUUUUCUACGUUAAAAAUACAUAGGCAAAUUUACACAAGAGGAGAAUAUGAGCCAAUAUGGGUUUGAUGCAGUAUCGUAUUGAUAUGCAACUUACAUUACAAAAAUGUGUGUAUGUAUGUAUAUAUGCAUGCUUGUUUGAGACAAUACUAAAUAUUGGUUUUCAUUUACUUGUAUAUGUUAUAAUCAUUUACUAUGCUUUAAACAAAUGGGAUGUAAGGUUCAUUUGUAAUUGCGCUUUGUAAAAAUCCGUUGCAAAUAUUACGCUUAUAUGUAAGAAUUUAUCUUGUUAUGCCAAAAAAAAAUUAGUAGGUAAGUAAUAUAUAUUGUAUUAUUAUAAAGAGAAUAUAAUCAAACUGCUUAAAAAAUGUUAACAACUAUAAAUUUGUGUUUUCGUAUUUGAAGCCAUCGGAAGCAAAGCAGCACGGCAGUAGCAAACCACUUCAUUUAGUACUUU